UCCACGCCGUAAACGUUGGAUACUAGCUGUUGGGGAGAGAUUCUCAGUGGCUAAGCGAAAGUGAUAAGUAUCCCACCUGGGGAGUACGUUCGCAAGAAUGAAACUCAAAGGAAUUGACGGGGGCCCGCACAAGCGGUGGAGCAUGUGGUUUAAUUCGAUGAUACGCGAGGAACCUUACCAGGGCUUAAAUGUAGAUUGACAGAUUUGGAAACAUAUCUUUCUUCGGACAAUUUACAAGGUGCUGCAUGGUUGUCGUCAGCUCGUGCCGUGAGGUGUCAGGUUAAGUCCUAUAACGAGCGCAACCCCUGCCGUUAGUUGCCAGCAUGUUAUGAUGGGGACUCUAACGGGACUGCCGGUGCAAACCGCGAGGAAGGUGGGGAUGACGUCAAAUCAUCACGGCCCUUACGUCCUGGGCUACACAC
rnacentral:rRNA from 1 species